GCUUCUUCUGGCGUAGAACUUCUCUGCUCCUGUUUGGUGUGUGCCUCAUCGUUUUUUUGCUCUCCUUUUGUACUUUUAUGGGCUCUUACUUUAUAAGGUGUGGUGUCAAGCCAUGAAUGCCUCCAAUACAGGGACAACCUCUACCACCCAAGACUGUGCGUUAGAUCUGGAAAUAAUAACAGAUACUGCAAGAGUAGAGGUUGACAAAAUCCUGAACAAAGAAGAAGUUCUUGAUGUCCUUCUAGCUAAAUCAGAGGAUCUUAAGAAUUCAGUUGGAGUUUUCAAAAAAACACCUCAUAAAACAACAUUAGCAUCUCAUUGUACUAGGACCCGAGUGUUGAUUGGCACUGUUGUCCUGAUGGUGGCUUUGGUUCUUCUCAUCUUGGUCAUUCUUUUUGCCACCAAUGUUAUUCCAACAUAAUGUCACUGUCUGCUGUUAUUCUUCUUUAGAAAGAAAUACUUGAUCCACCAUCAAGAUUUCCUAACUGAUGUCUUUUAUUCUUCCACUCUUGGCUGCUUUAAAAUUUUGGACUAUGCCAGGCAGGCAACAUGUAAAGAGCUGAACUUCCUGUUAACUCAUGAAAUGGGUACAGUUGUCAGGCAAAGACAGCCAAACUCAAGAACUGUGAAGAAUGGAGGAAGAAUUCAAGAAAUACUUUAGACAGGGCAUACUAAACAUCUCUUCAAAGUACCAUGAAGAACUGCCACCUUUACUUCUGUUGUCCACUUCUGGUUUAACAGCAGAAAUACACAACAGGCAUACUCACAUUGACUGGCUGGCAUCUAGAGCUGGACCUGGAGAGAUACCUAGGUAGAAUGAAAAGAAUUAUGAAGGCAAUGGAGACCUUUGGGUACUGAAGAUUCACCCUGCAGUUCCAGAUCUCUGGUUCUCGUACCUGAUGUUGAGACUUUAACAGGUUUGCUUUACCUGUCACAGGCCGCUGUCCCACUGGCCUGUAUUUAAAAUCUCCAACCCUGCUUAACCCUUCAAUGAAAACCUUACCUUGACACCUUCCCCAGCUGAACCUUUGAGACCAGAUAAACGUAAAAAUCUAGAGCAGACCAAGUUAAUAUCAAGACAGGUCAUUUUAUAUAACCACAGAAAAUAAAAUGGAAAGAUAAACGGUUAAAUGCAAAUAUUAUCUAAUGUAAUACUUUAACUUGUUACCUGCUUUAACUAUUAACUUCUAUAGUACAGUUAAAAUGUAAGUAACAAAGAAAAUUAUUUUCUUAUAAAAAUUCUGCAGCAAUAAUAUAGAUUCAGACCUACUUACUCUCUUCAGGAUGUUCACCAUUUGUUUUUCAAAUCUCACUGGGUUUUUAUUUAAAAACUAGUCGAGCUACCCAUCUAAGACAGGUUUGAAUCUAAUAAGCUAAUUUCUGUCCAUCUGGCAGUUAAUCUUUGUUGGACAUCUUCUUAACAUCUGACAUGCACAAUCUAUUGGAAUGCUCUUUAUAAUGCACAUAGUAAUAAAUCCAACAGAUGGUGCAUCACAAACAUUAGCAGUGCUUUUGCAAAUCUCAUAUGAAAUGACAUAACAGAGACAUAGCAACCAGACAGACAUGCAGACACACACACUUAUCCUUUUAUUAAGAUUGAGUUUUCUCAAAAUGUGCAUAGACGUUUCUACUUCUUAAUGACCUUUGUCCCAAUCAGGAGCUUUUUUAUGCCUACUAACCGUAAUUAAGAUAUACAUUUCUUUGCAUAAAUAACAUUUCUCGAUUUCUAAUUCAAUUACAUUUGCCAAAAGCUUCCUAUUUACUAUUAUCAAAAAAAAAAACAAACAUUACUACAAGUUCAUUAUUUCAAAGCAUAAUACUUGAGCAAUAAAUCCACAGUUCCAAAGUUUAAUUUUCUUUCUAGCAAAACUCUUUUGUGGUUUUAAUAUAUACCUUUAGGCAAAAAUAGAUUAGGA